rnacentral:rRNA from 1 species
UCUAACAUGUGCGCGAGUCAAUGGGUCCCUCAAUACCCUGAGGCGAAUGAAACGCCAAGGCACGGCCGUGCCUUGGCGCAGUUGCGAUACCGGGACUCCGCCCAGGGUCCUAUGCAGGGAGCAGCAACGGCCCGCCCACACUAGCUCACGUCGUGGGUCGACGUGAGCUAGCUAGAGCACACGUUGGA